UCAAUGCAUAAUCCGUUCAAAUUCCAAUUUACACUUCCAAUUCAAACCAUUACAUUAACUCAUUCAUUCAAUUCACUUUCCAACGUCCAAUCCAUUUACAUUCAAACUUGUCUAAACAUUUGAAUCUAAUCAUUUUCAAGUUUAUACUUAAAACAUUCCAUUUAUAAUGCAUUCAUUAAAUCUUAAUAGCAUUUUUUUUUCCAUAAACCAUGUAAUUCCAUAUUCAAAUUCUCAUACAUAAUUCAAAUUUCUCCAUCAAUGUAAAUUCAAUAACUUUUAAUACAAUUUAAUUCCAAAUGCUAUUCAAUACACAAAGUUAUACUUUUUACCCUAUUCAAUACACAUUCAAUUUCAAAUUAACUUCCCAAAUCUCAGGCUAUAUUCAAGGUUUCAGGAAAGUAGAAGCUCCCUGCAGUUCAAUUGUCAUUUGAUGUACAUCAUUAACAUUCCAAGUUGUUUAAUUGAGAUAUUCCAAGAAGCUCCCAGCAUGAGUUAUAACAGAAAAUUCACAACUAACAGUUUCUCCUUAACUAACCUAACAGAACAGAUAGACUUAAUUGUCUAACUACAUGUUCAUAACAGAAAAUGAAACUCAACCUUCAAACUGAAACCUAACAGAAAAAACUGAAAAUAGAACUUAACACAUAACAAUCUCUAACCUUCUAACUGUUUCCCAACUAACAAACUUUUUAACCUAACUCAUUCUAACAUUGUAAUCGAACCUCUAACUGAUUUAAACUAACAAGAUUUAACAGAAUUAAUCUCUGUUAAAUCCAGCUCCUAUAUAAGCUAAACGAUCAGUUUUUAAUCACCAUUUUUUUGCAGAAAUCACAGAAGCUCUCUCACUCUCGCACACCUUUCAUCAAUUUCAAACAAGAACACGCACAAUCGAAAACUCAGAAGCACGAUACAACAGAAAAGAGGGAGAAGAAGAAGCAGAAAAAACGUACAAUCGAAAACUCAGAAGAGAAAGAGAAUUACCUGCGAACGUCACUGACGACACCGGAGCCACCGCAUCGGAGUCAAAUCCGUUUAGCUUUCGUCUGCUUUCUUUCUGUCGACUAAUGAUUCUUCCGCGUUGCAAUACCAGAAUGCGUCACCAAUCGCAAAACAAUGCAUAAACUCAAAGUGCAGCGUCACCAUUUCAAUGUUGUGCAUACGAUCUCGACGAGUUGGAGAAGAAGAAGGAAGGAUCGAAACUGAGGAGGGAUAAGAGUUGUUAUCCGUUCAUAACUCCGUUUCAGUGAGUUUCUUCUGCCGGAUCGAGAUUCUUGAACGCGACGCAGACGUCCAUGACCCUUACAAGUACGAUUGAUGUCGAUUCGAGUUGAUUCGAAGAAGACAAAUCCGACUUCGUCGAUUGGAGAAUUCGAUACUUUUGUUUUUCUCCGUGGAUUUUGCGCUUGAGUGUUCGUCGGAGGGAGUGGAGGAAACGCGUGAAAACGGCCGAGGGAUUCUACAUGUUUGCUAGGUUGGAGGUUUAAGUGUAUACACAUGGGUCGGGUGUACCAGUUGGUUAAUUAGUUAACUAGAAUAAUAGAAUUUUUAGAAUUUAGUUAAUUAGGAUUAACUUAAUUAGGUUAAUUAGAAAUAAUUAGAAUUAGAUAUUUUUCUAGAAUUUAAG
rnacentral:lncRNA from 1 species